GACGAACGCUGGCGGUGUGCCUAAUACAUGCAAGUCGAACGCUUCUUUCCUCCCGAGUGCUUGCACUCAAUUGGAAAGAGGAGUGGCGGACGGGUGAGUAACACGUGGGUAACCUACCCAUCAGAGGGGGAUAACACUUGGAAACAGGUGCUAAUACCGCAUAACAGUUUAUGCCGCAUGGCAUAAGAGUGAAAGGCGCUUUCGGGUGUCGCUGAUGGAUGGACCCGCGGUGCAUUAGCUAGUUGGUGAGGUAACGGCUCACCAAGGCCACGAUGCAUAGCCGACCUGAGAGGGUGAUCGGCCACACUGGGACUGAGACACGGCCCAGACUCCUACGGGAGGCAGCAGUAGGGAAUCUUCGGCAAUGGACGAAAGUCUGACCGAGCAACGCCGCGUGAGUGAAGAAGGUUUUCGGAUCGUAAAACUCUGUUGUUAGAGAAGAACAAGGACGUUAGUAACUGAACGUCCCCUGACGGUAUCUAACCAGAAAGCCACGGCUAACUACGUG
rnacentral:rRNA from 1 species